rnacentral:rRNA from 1 species
UACGUAGGUCCCGAGCGUUGUCCGGAUUUAUUGGGCGUAAAGCGAGCUCAGGUGGUUUAUUAAGUCUGGUGUAAAAGGCAGUGGCUCAACCAUUGUAUGCAUUGGAAACUGGUAGACUUGAGUGCAGGAGAGGAGAGUGGAAUUCCAUGUGUAGCGGUGAAAUACGUAGAUAUAUGGAGGAACACCGGUGGCGAAAGCGGCUCUCUGGCCUGUAACUGACACUGAGGCUCGAAAGCGUGGGGAGCAAACAGG